GCCUCCAUAGCUCAACGGAUAGAGCAACAGACUUCUAAUCUGCAGGUUUCCGGUUCGAAUCCGGAUGGGGGCA
rnacentral:tRNA from 1 species